CUUCCUUUGACAACAGGUGCCCCUACAGAUUCACAAAGUUCCAGUGUUGAGUUUCCAUGACCCCUAUUCAUCCACGACAGGAAAAGGAAUAGAGUUGACAGGACUUCCCGCACUGUCCCUGGUAGCAGUUUAUGAGGGAACCAACCGCAGUAGACAUAGCACGCUUCAUCAAAGAUGCACCAGACGCAGCGGCACUGUCUCCAUCACUGGUGAAAUGGGAUAUGACUAGU